rnacentral:lncRNA from 1 species
AAAAGGUAGAUGUCGUGCUGUGAAGAAGUCCCGUGGGGGCUCUUAAAAAGCUAGCAAGUUUGGCCAAGAUGGAGAAGAUGGAGGAUCAAGGGUGGGCUGUGAGAACUGGAGCUUGACCCCCACCUCCUAAGUUUCCACCACCAACUGGAGAUCAACUGUUCCAUGCAUAAGCCUUUUGGAGACGGGGUCCAUAUUCAACCCAGGACAUCAACACCAAGAAAUGAGUCAUGUUCCAGUUUAUAGAUAAGGUAGCCAGCCUUGUCUGAUACCAUGCUGUGUACGUGUCCUGAAAUAUCACGCUGCAUCCAGGUAGUCUCUUCAAACUCACAAAAUUCACAGACCCAGGGAAACAGUCCUAUUCACCAACAAGUCAAAGCUACCUGGGACUGGACAUCAUUCUUUUUAA